CAAAAUUGAAAUUGUAAGAAAUGAAAUCUAUACAUUUUUUAAUACAAGUUAAUCAUAAAUGUUUCGAAUCUUGAUCCAUUAUUUCAGACGAAUGUAAAUAAAGGAAAUGAGGAAUUCUAAAUAGGUAGGAACCUAUUCGUCCCUGAACGCACAUGUGCACGUAUACAGUCAUGACUGCGACAUACAUAUGUGUAUUUUGAUAUUGUAGCUAGACUGGCAGUAUCAGUAUGCUUCUGUUUACGUCGACGCACUAGUAGUGAUAAUAGUAUGGUUGUAAACACUCCUAGCAUAAAAAAUAUUAACUCGAGAUAAGGCAGGCACAUGCAAAUUGUAUGACAAUUGCUUAAAUGUAAAUAUUUGAAAUCAUUAUACUUUAAUCACUGUCAAGGAUAUAAUCAUACAUGAUUAUCUGUUCUCCACGAUGAUUAAAAAUAAAUGCUCGUUAUCAGCUGAAGAAUAAAAUAAAUUAGAAAUUGUAUUUAUUAUGUUUCAUAUAAGAUUUGGUGAACGACUAGAUUUAAGUUGGCAGUGGUCGCUUAAGAGCUAGAAUAGGAAAGGUCGUGCAACUGUAAGUGCAGCUGUACUCUAUAUGUAUACUAUGGUGGAGACCAGCACGGCAUCAGAAUUAGGAAUUCGCCUCCAGAUGUAUCUGCAUACCAACGUAUAUAAACAAGCAUUAAAUCUUCCAUUUAAAUUACCUAUGAGACGCAUUGUUCUUUAUAUUUCGCACGUGCAAUGACAAAGAAUAUUAACUGUAUUUUAAUUCAAACAUGUGCACAAUCAAAAAAAACAGGAUGCUAUGUGAGCAAAAUAAACAUUCUAUAGUGCAUGUGUUUCAUAAUGAUGAUUAUGAACUUUUUAAUAUAAUAAAUGUACAUGUACAAUCUUUAGCGAUACACUACGAACCUCUAUACGAUUAUAAAUUUUUGAUUAUAUAGUAAAAUUUAUAAUCGCUUUUCCUUCGCAAUUAUUUGUGCAACGAAAUGAAUAUCCGCGAAUCUUCAAAGUAAAAGCGAAUAGUCGAUGCUUCCUGUAAUUUUAUACGCUUUCUAACCGUAUAUAAAAGUAAAAGAGUACACAUACGUCACAUACAUUUAUCAUCGAUUGUUUGACGAUCGUCAAGUUACGCUGUUUGUAUUGCAGUUUCCACAUUUUAUUAAUUUUAAUUCGCGGCUAAAUAAUAAGAUGUACAUAUCCAGUCUCAU